rnacentral:rRNA from 1 species
AACGAACGCUGGCGGCAGGUUUAACACAUGCAAGUCGAACGCGUGUAGCAAUACACGAGUGGCGCACGGGUGAGUAACGCGUGGAUAUCUGCCUUUUGGUUCGGAAUAACCCCGGGAACUGGGGCUAAUACCGGAUGGUUCCUUCGGGAUAAAGAUUUAUCGCCAAAAGAUGAGUCCGCGUACGAUUAGCUAGUUGGUGAGGUAAUGGCUCACCAAGGCGACGAUCGUUAGCUGGUCUGAGAGGACGAUCAGCCACACUGGGACUGAGACACGGCCCAGACUCCUACGGGAGGCAGCAGUGGGGAAUAUUGGACAAUGGGGGCAACCCUGAUCCAGCCAUGCCGCGUGAGUGAUGAAGGCCUUC